rnacentral:rRNA from 1 species
AACGAACGCUGGCGGCGUGCCUAACACAUGCAAGUCGAACGAGACCUUCGGGUCUAGUGGCGCACGGGUGCUUAACGCGUGGGAACCUGCCCUUAGGUUCGGAAUAACUCCCCGAAAGGGGUGCUCAUACCGGUUAAUGUCUUCGGACCAAAGAUUUAUCGCCUUUGGGUGGGCCCUCGUUGGAUUCGCUAGUUGGUAGGGUAAAAGCCUACCAAGGCGACGAUCCAUAGCUGGUCUGAGAGGAUGAUCAGCCACACUGGGACUGAGACACGGCCCAGACUCCGACGGGAGGCAGCAGUGGGGAAUAUUGGACAAUGGGCGAAAGCCUGAUCAAGCAAUGCCGCGUGAGUGAUGAAGGCCUUAGGGUUGUAAAGCUCUUUUACCCGGGAUGAGAAUGACAGUACCGGGAGAAUAAGCUCCGGCUAACUCCGUG